AAACAGGACGUUUUCGCGUCCACAGAACAAAGAGUAAAUGGUUUUAG
rnacentral:ncRNA from 1 species